rnacentral:rRNA from 1 species
GAUGAACGCUAGCGGCAGGCUUAAUACAUGCAAGUCGAGGGGCAGCAUGAUUGUAGCAAUACAAUUGAUGGCGACCGGCAAACGGGUGCGGAACACGUACACAACCUCCCAAUAAGUGGGGAAUAGCCCAGAGAAAUUUGGAUUAAUACCCCGUAACAUAACGAUGUGGCAUCACAUUGUUAUUAUAGAUUUUUCGCUUAUUGAUGGGUGUGCGGCUGAUUAGAUAGUAGGCGGGGUAACGGCCCACCAAGUCUACGAUCAGUAGCUGAUGUGAGAGCAUGAUCAGCCACACGGGCACUGAGACACGGGCCCGACUCCUACGGGAGGCAGCAGUAAGGAAUAUUGGACAAUGGACGCAAGUCUGAUCCAGCCAUGCCGCGUGAAGGAUUAAGGUCCUCUGGAUUGUAAACUUCUUUUAUAAGGGACGAAAAAAGGUCUUUCUAGAUCGUCUGACGGUACCUUAUGAAUAAGCACCGGCUAACUCCGUGCCAGCAGCCGCCGUAAGAC